rnacentral:rRNA from 1 species
CUGGGCUCGAAAUGCAGAUGACCAUCGGCGAAAGUCGACUUCCGCAAGGACCUCUGUAUAGGUGCUGCAUGGCUGUCGUCAGCUCGUGUCGUGAGAUGUUGGGUUAAGUCCCGCAACGAGCGCAACCCUUGUUCUCUGUUGCCAUCAGGUCAAGCUGGGCACUCUGAGGAGACUGCCGGUGACAAACCGGAGGAAGGUGGGGAUGACGUCAAGUCAGCAUGGCCUUUAUGUCCAGGGCUACACACGUGCUACAAUGGCCAGUACAAAGCGUCGCAAGCCCGCGAGGGUGAGCCAAUCGCAUAAAGCUGGUCUCAGUUCGGAUUGCAGGCUGCAACUCGCCUGCAUGAAGUUGGAAUCGCUAGUAAUCGCGGAUCAGCAUGCCGCGGUGAAUACGUUCCC